rnacentral:tRNA from 1 species
GGAUAUAGCUCAGUGGUUGAGCACAUGCUAAGCAUGCAUGAGAUCCAGGGUUCAAUCCCUGGUACCGCCA